CGAGUCGGCCGGGCGGCCGCGGCGGGGGUUCUUCGGAGCCCCCGACGAGGAAGGUCCGGGCUCCACAAGGCAGGGUGGUCGGUAAUGCCGACCCGGAGUGAUCCGCGGGACAGUGCCACAGAAAUCAGACCGCCCCUGCUCAUCGCAGGGGUAAGGGUGAAACGGUGGUGUAAGAGACCACCAGCGCCCCAGGUGACUGGGGUGGCUAGGUAAACCCCACCCGGAGCAAGGUCAAGAAGGGCCCGCCCAGCGGACCCGCGCAGACGCUUGAGGGCAGCCUGCCCGAGCCUGCGGGUAGACCGCUCGAGGCUGCCGGCAACGGUAGCCCUAGAUGGAUGGCCGCCCCUCCGCUUACGCGGAGCGACAAAACCCGGCCUACAGGCCGACUCGUCCA
rnacentral:RNase_P_RNA from 1 species